rnacentral:lncRNA from 1 species
GCCCUCUCGGCAAUUAUUUUUAUUUUUUGCUUUACUUCUUUUCUUCGUAGUAUUACUAUUAUUAGUACUUCUGCUGGUGUUAUACCAGUCACCGUUAUACAAUCCCCACCUGGUGGAACAGGUAAUAUUGCACAACAUGCGGAUGGGCCAUCCCAUGGAUCUCCAGUAUAGCUGGUGUGGGGUUAGCUUUCGGGUAGUCAAGUAGGAGGGGCCAGAGCUGCUGUCGGUAAAGAUCAAAUCUGU